UGGCGAACGGGUGAGUAAUAUAUCGGAACGUGUCCAAUAAUGGGGGAUAACGAGUCGAAAGAUUCGCUAAUACCGCAUACGCCCUACGGGGGAAAGCAGGGGAUCGUAAGACCUUGCGUUAAUGGAGCGGCCGAUAUCUGAUUAGCUUGUUGGUGAGGUAAAGGCUCACCAAGGCGACGAUCAGUAGCUGGUUUGAGAGAACGACCAGCCACACUGGAACUGAGACACGGUCCAGACUCCUACGGGAGGCAGCAGUGGGGAAUUUUGGACAAUGGGGGCAACCCUGAUCCAGCCAUUCCGCGUGAGUGAAGAAGGCCUUCGGGUUGUAAAGCUCUUUCGCAAGGGAAGAAAACUUAUGAUCGAAUAAAUCAUGAGGUUGACGGUACCUUGAUAAGAAGCACCGGCUAACUACGUGCCAGCAGCCGCGGUAAUACGUAGGGUGCGAGCGUUAAUCGGAAUUACUGGGCGUAAAGCGUGCGCAGGCGGUUUUGUAAGUCGGAUGUGAAAUCCCCGGGCUCAACCUGGGAACUGCGUUCGAAACUGCAAGGCUAGAGUGUGUCAGAGGGGGGUAGAAUUCCACGUGUAGCAGUGAAAUGCGUAGAGAUGUGGAGGAAUACCAAUGGCGAAGGCAGCCCCCUGGGAUAACACUGACGCUCAUGCACGAAAGCGUGGGGAGCAAACAGGAUUAGAUACCCUGGUAGUCCACGCCCUAAACGAUGUCAACUAGUUGUUGGUAGAGUAAAAUCUAUGAGUAACGUAGCUAACGCGUGAAGUUGACCGCCUGGGG
rnacentral:rRNA from 1 species